rnacentral:rRNA from 1 species
CGCGCAGGCGGUGAUGUAAGUCUGAGGUGAAAACCCGAAGCUCAACUUCGGGACUGCCUUGGAUACUGCGUCACUUGAGGAUAGGAGAGGCAAGGGGAAUUCCACGUGUAGCGGUGAAAUGCGUAGAGAUGUGGAGGAACACCUGUGGCGAAGGCGCCUUGCUGGCCUAUUUCUGACGCUGAGGCGCGAAAGCGUGGGGAGCAAACA